UGGGGAAUUUUGCGCAAUGGGCGAAAGCCUGACGCAGCAACGCCGCGUGAGUGAUGAAGGCUUUCGGGUCGUAAAGCUCUGUCAAGGGGAAAGAAAUGUAUUGUGGCUAAUAUCCGCGAUACUUGACGGUACCCCUAAAGGAAGCACCGGCUAACUCCGUGCCAGCAGCCGCGGUAAUACGGGGGGUGCAAGCGUUGUUCGGAAUUAUUGGGCGUAAAGCGCGUGUAGGCGGUUUGUUAAGUCUGAUGUGAAAGCCCUGGGCUCAACCCAGGAAGUGCAUUGGAAACUGGCAGACUUGAAUACGGGAGAGGGUAGUGGAAUUCCUGGUGUAGGAGUGAAAUCCGUAGAUAUCAGGAGGAACACCGGUGGCGAAGGCGGCUACCUGGACCGAUAUUGACGCUGAGACGCGAAAGCGUGGGUAGCAAACA
rnacentral:rRNA from 1 species